UCAAACGACAAAAAGAAAACAUAAAAGUGAAAUCAACAACAAGUUUUUUCUCAUAGAUUUAAGUUUGAUUUCAAUUGCAAUUCGAUCAUAUUCUAAAUCAAAGAAAUCAGAUGAUGCAGUGGCGGUCGAAGCGGGAGAAAAACUUGCUGGAGAGAAACUUGCUGCCAUCAUUCAUAGCCGUUCCAGCCUCUACCCCGAGUAACGACAUCGCUCAUGAAUCGGAACUGCAAUGGAAGCUGGUCUGUGAACUCACCACUUGCCACACUACUGGUGCUAAAAUCCAAAAGGGGUGUUCGGAGGUUCAGCAUCCAAUCCAGUUAACGUUGUGGGGGCUUUCGCUGCAGCAUGGCAGCAGCUGCUGAUCAGAUUCGAGUUAAAUUCAAUAUUUGUGAA